rnacentral:rRNA from 1 species
AAACCGUUCAGGGGUAAACCUGAGAAACCCGAAAGACUCGAACGGGGAGAUUCAUCGUCAGCGUAGCUGGCUUCGCGUCGGUGGGCGAUGUCCCGCGGUGCCGCCUCGUCGCGGCUCCCGCGCGGACACGCUACCGUGCGUCGAUGUCCGGCGAACGUCGUCGUGCACUUCUCCCCUAGUAGGACGUCGCGACCCGCUGGGUGUCGGUCUACGGCCCGGGGCUGAGGUGACUGCCGCGCCAGCACGUAAAAAUGCGCCGCGGCAAACUCCCGGUUGCCCGGCCGACUGCCCGGCGGUAUAACGAAACGGUAUCAGGCCGCGCCUCGGCGCGUCGAGCCCGUCGCAAGCGAGCGCCACGGUACCCGGAGGUACGGACCCAGUGCCGUCCCCGGUCCUGGCCCGCUGCUAGCUAGUACGGUGUGCCUUCGACUGGCCUGAGCCCCGCGUGUCCCGGUAAAACGGGGCGCGCGGCAUACCGGUCGGCGACGCUACUGCUUUGGGUACUCUCAGGA